ncrna:unclassified sequences Mu-gpT-DE RNA
CCUUGACAGUCGCAUUGGGCGAUUGACAUUUGCCAAGACAAGGAGAUUGAUAUG